GAGAGCACGGCGGCCUCGCAGGAGGCAGCUCCCUCUUGUACUGGCACGGGGUCUGCGGGACGCCGAGGCGAGCCUGAAGGGCGCUCACACCGCGGUGGCCGCGGCCGGCCCGUCCCCGCAGGCUGGUCUCCGAGGGAGGAACCAAAACAAGGAACGACUGUGAAAAGUAAACUGUGCCGUGACGGGAAUGUGCUGAUAACUUUAUCUUCCCUACUCCCCAAACCUGAACUGGGCACCCUUGGUUUCAGCAAGAGAUAGAACUGAACAGUUUGCAUAUACUUGCUGAUCUGCCUGUAACUCUACUUCCUAUUUCACAACAUAAUCUCAGAUGAUACCACAAUGCCCGCAGUAUGCUGAUCACUACCAACAGCAGAUGGAGUCAGAUAAAACUGAUAGCAGCCCUAAGAUCAAACACAAAUUGAGUUUGUGAGAUUUCCUAAAGAUAUGUGCAAGAUGGAACCAGCCAUCAUAAUCCUAUUUUCCUAAAGAUGCUGGAUGACCCCUCCACCUCCAUAGUAGCAGGGGCCUAUGCUACUUUCAGGGACUAAAAAUGUCUGCCACCUUCAUUGGCAACAGCACGGGCAUCCAGAAGCUGUUCAAGUGCAUCUCAGAGCAGUUCACCGCCAUGUUCAGGCACAAGGACUUCCUGCACUGGUACACGGGCGACAGCAUGGACAAGAUAGAGUCCACCAAGGCCGAGAGCAACAUGAACGACCUGGUGUCCAAGUACCAGCCGUACCAGGACACCACAGCCAAGGAGGAGGGCGAGUUUGAGGAGGAGGCUGAGGAGGGUGGCCUAGAGCUGUUACCUGGCGUAUGUUGAGCACCUGCUAUGUUUCAGCUAUGCUGAGUAAGUGAGUAAGUUAUGAUCUGUGGACACAGGACUUAGAGUUUUGUGAGGAGAACCAACCUGUAUGGGAUGCUUAUGAUGCCGUGGAGCACAGAAGAGGGAUGCUGGACACGAAAGAGCCCAGGGUUCUGAAAAACUGCUAAUAGUUCUAAAAGACUGAAUUGGAUUUCCACUUCUGACCCCGAUGGAUUGAGAAGGAACUGGAUUUACCUUCCUGGCAUCUGAAACAACUUUAAAAACAGGAAGAAUAUAGAAAACAACUGUUCUCAGGCACUGCAUAUCAGGCAACAGAGGACAGUGAUCCCUGAGAUUGGGAAAAUAAAUGAGGUGAGCCCUGUGAUUGUCCUAGCUUACUGCCUGGGAGAGAGUUUCUGGUGUGCGAUUAAGAGAGUGGGAAUCUGGGGGCGCCUGGGUAGCUCAGUCGGUUAAGCGUCUGCCUUCGGCUCAGGUCAUGAUCCCAGGAUUCUGGGAUUGAGCCCCACAUCGGGCUCCCUGCUCAGCGGGGAGCCUGCUUCUCCCUCUCCCACUCCCCCUGCUUGUGUUCCCUCUCUUGCUGUGUCUCUCUCUCUGUCAAAAUAAAUAAAUAAAAUCUUUUAAAAAAGAGAGAGAGAGAGAGUGGGAAUCUGUGUGGGCUGCGGGUGUCCGGGGAGGCUCUGGCAUCUUGACUUCUCAGGCAGAGUAGCAGGGAGAGGAGUAUUGCAUAGGGAGAAAGUUCCGAAGACCUACAGAAGGCCCCCAGGAGUCUUCAGCUGAGUACUGAUCAGCACCUGAGUAUGGAGAAACUACUUAACUCCCUAUCGGAGCAGAGGGAAUAACCCUUGAAUGAAAAGCCUUGUACUUUACAGGGCAUUAGGGAGAGUAUUCAAAAGAGCAUUGCCUCAAGUAGUGUGGCUAAAUUAGCUCUGAAAUAAAGGCUGCCCAUCCUGCCUAACAAAGCCUGAAAGAAACUUUGAAAACAUCAAACUAUUUCCAAGUGAAUUAACCGCUUCCCAGAAUAAAGCUCAAGGAAAUAUUUAUAGAGAUAAAAAAAAAUUGCACCUAAGAAGGUAAAAAUCACAAUUUCUGGCAUCCAGUGAAAAAGGACCAGGCAUGCAAACCAGCAGGAAAAUGCAAUGAAUAAUGAGGGAAAGAAAUCAAUCAAUAGAAACCCAGAAAUGAUGCAGAUAUCAAAAUAUACAAAGAUAGAAUUAGUAGACUAAGACAUUAAAGCAGUUAUUAUAACUUUAUUCCAUAAGUACAAGAAUCUAAAGGAAAGAUUGAGCAUGUUAAGUAGAGAAAUGGAAGGUAUUAAGAAAAAAACUGAACUUUUAGACAUGAAAAAUACAUCUGUGGUGAAAAAUAUAUUGGAUGGGCUUGAUAGAAGAUUAGACACAACAGAAGAAAGGAGUAGUUAAGUUGAAUACAUAGCAGUAGAAACUAAAAUGAAGCAAUCAAUCAAAAAAAAAAAAUCUUAAAAAAAAAGGGUGCCUGGGUGGCUCAGUUGGUUGGGCGACUGCCUUCGGCUCAGGUCAUGAUCCUGGAGUCCCAGGAUCGAGUCCCGCAUCGGGCUCCCUGCUCGGCAGGGAGUCUGCUUCUCCCUCUGACCCUCCCCCCUCUCAUGCUCUCUCUCUCUCUCAAAUAAUAAAUAAAUAAAUAAAUAAAUAAAUAAAUAAAUAAAAUAAAAUAAAAUAAAAUGAAGCAAUCAGAGAAAAAGUGUUGAAAACAAAAUGACCAGAGCAUCAGUGAGCUAUGGGACAACUUCAAGCUGCAUACAGAGUUGAUGGAUUUAUGGGUGGACACCUUGACCAAGGACUUUCUCCCUUGGAAUUUUGAAUUUAGAACCCAAAGAGAAUCAAGCCAGUCUCAUUCAGUGUGACUGUAAUAAGAACAUGGAAAUCUUCAUUGUUUUUCAUCAGGUAGACUGAGAAGCAGAAGUUAGUCUGUAACAAGGGAAAAAAGAUACAGAGGAAAGUAGAGAUAUAAUCUGGAGAGAGAAAUCAUCAAGAUUUCCAGGUCCUAGAUCCAGUUUUGUUUGUUUGUUUUUUUGGUUUUUUUUAAGAUUUUAUUUAUUUAUUUAUUUGACAGAGAGAGACACAGCGAGAGAGGGAACACAAGCAGGGGGAGUGAAGAGGGAGAGCAGGCUUCCUGCCGAGCAGGGAGCCCGAUGCCAGGCUUGAUCCCAGGACCCUGAGAUCAUGACCUGAGCCUAAGGCAGAUGCUUAACGACUGAGCCACCCAGGCGCUCCAGUCCAGUUGUUUCUGAGCUGAGUUGUAUCCCUAUCUGUUCAGCUGUUUCUUAGAUUCCAUGAGAUUUUUUGCCAUAUAUAAUGAAAAAGGUCUUAAAUUAUAUAGAGAUGAUGCAUUUGAUUUUGGACAUGUUAAAAUGUUAUUUGAUUUGUGGAUGCAUGUUUGGAGUGUCUAUGGAAUAUUGAUGUGGAAAUAUCAACUAGGUAGGUGAAUAGACUUUUCUGAAGCUCAGAAUAGAAGCAUGAGCCCCAAAUUUACAUUUUGAUUCUACAGAAUAAAUAGAGCACCUAAAUCUAUAAGAGUUUACCUAAAUCCAUGGGAUUAUAUGAACUCGAAAAUGGAGAAUAUAUAGAGGGAGAUACAAAACCAGUGAUGGAACCUGGAAAACAAGCAUAUUAAAAAGACAAAAAGAGCAUCCAGGGAAAGACUGAGAAAGAAUGUUUACCAAGUUAGGGUGAGAGCUUGAUGUUGAGAAAAUCAAAGGAAGGGAGAAUCUAAAGAAAAGAGAAAUCAGUAACACUGUCAAUUUCCCGAAGGACCUAAGACAUUCCUGACCCUUGAUUGGCUUCCUCCAUUUCUAAGCUUACUUCCUUUUUUCUGCCCAUAUUUACCACAUAUGAGUCCAUAUUUCCCUGUUUCUGACCUCAACAUGCUAACUUAACCAUAGUUAUGAAUCUCUUUUAGGGUAGUUUGAUUUGGGCUAUCUUAACCCUACAUUAUUCUACAAUACCUAAUAAGGAUUAAAGACCCAAUCAGAGCAGAUCAACAGGAAAGAGCUUUUCCCCCAAAAGACAAUUGUAUGGCAGUAUAACUGGGAGGCAAGGAAGGAUCUGGAGAAAAGUUAUUGGUUUCCAUAAGAGGAAAUGAGGCCUCAUCAGUUUAUUAAAGUUCUUUUAGGACGCACAAAUGCAUAUGGAGAAAGCUCAUGAAUGGCGUCUAUUUAGAUUUUCAAAAAGGCUUUCACAAAGUUCCACACAAAAGGCUAUUUUAAAAAUUGAGUCAUCAUGGUAUGAUGGAGACUGGUGUAAUGCACAGGGAAGUUGCUUAGAGACAAGAAACAAUGGUUUAGGAUAAAAGGGCACUUCUUGGAGGAAGAAGUGUAAACAUGGCAUUCCUCUCUAACUUGCUUUAUUUAAUAUUUCUAUUAGUAAUUUGGAGGAGGGAAGACAUAAUGACACUAAGUUCUUCUGAGUAUGAAAAGCUCAAGUAUGUGGGGAUAACCUGAAGUUAGCAUGAGGCUAUGUGAAUAGGCUGAAAAUAUUGAAUUGAAUGGGCAAAAAAAAGUAUUGAACUUAGACCAAAACACUCUAAAGUGUACUGAGAAGAUUUAUGUACUCAUUCAUUCAUUAAAUGGUUAUUGAGGAUCAAUUAUGUGGCCAGAUAUUAUGCUACAAUUUUGGGAGGAAAUUAAUAAUUAAGAAGGCACUUCUCCCUGCUUUUAGAGAACUUAAAUACAAUAAAAAGGUUUUUCCUGAAUCUUGGGAAAAGUAAAUUCAAGGUGAAUAAAAAAGUAGUUCACUUAAUAGGAAACACAUGGAGCUUAGGUUUCUAAGAGUUAAGCUGAGAAGGUUGAAAAAUAUAAAGAAUCUCAAUAUUUAGAUAAUUUCAUAAAAGACACUGCUGUGUUGGUAUUGUUAAGGUAACUUAGAAUAUUUGUAGCUACAUCCAUAACAUCUGGAUAUAUUAGCGUAUUAGGACCAUUUGUGUUGGAAGUGACAAAAUUCAAAUCAAAACUAACUUUAAAAAAAAAAAAAGAAGGUAAGCCUGGCUUUAGGGGUAGCUGGGUAUAGAGAGGCAGGAGAUGUUAUGAGAACUUGGUGUAGCUCACUCAUUUUCCACCUCUCAGCUCUGUUUUUUUCUGUGUGGUUUCAUUCUAAGAAUAUUUCCACAUGGAACAAAGGUAGCCUGUAUAUAAGUAUGGGAGAUGGAAGAAAUUCCAGUUUUCAAUGUUCUCCACCUAUGAUUUUAGGAAACACUUUUUCUCCUAGCACCCAUAUCAGUUCCUGAAAAGAGACACCAAAUGGCCCAUCCUUGAACCACUCACUGUGGCCAAGAAUUUGAAGUAUUCUUACUGGCCAGGCCAGGGCACCACAGUGCCUCCCACAAAAGCUAGGGUGAAGGGGAGUAGUCAGACUCUCAGAGCCACACAGACUGAGAAUGAGGAAGAAGUCAUUUCCCAAAAAGACAUUAGGCAGACAAAAAAUUAGUGACAACAACUACCUACUUCUCUAAAAGAUCAUCAUAGACCGAUGACAGUUAUGAUAGAAGCCUUAAAGAUACUCUCUCCACCAUGAUCCUCAUCUUCUGGUAUUCACACACGUUUGUAAUCCCGUCUCUUUUAAAUGUAGGCUAGAUUUAGUGACUCACUUCUAAAGAAAAGAGUAUGAUAGAAGUGAUGGUAUGUCACUUCCGAGUUAGGUUAUAAAAGACUGCAGGUUCCAUCUUGGAUGUUCUGACUCUUUCUAGCUUUUCCUUUGAUUGCUCACCCUGUGGGGAAGCCAGCCACUAUGUUGUGAGUCAGUCCUAUGGAGAGGCUCAUGUAAGUGAGCUUGGAAGUGGGUUUUCUUGAUAAUAACCAGGUGUAUGAGCUUGGAAGUGGAUCCUUCCCCAGUCUAGUCUUUAGAUGAGACAAAAGACCUGGAUGAGAGCUCAACUGCAACCUCAUGAGAGACCUAGAGCCAGAGGCACCCAGCUAAGUGGUACCCAGAUUCCUGACCCAUGGAAAUGGAAGAUCAUACAUUUCUGUUCUUAGAAGCCACUAAGUUUGGGGGCAAUUGUUAAACAGCAAUAGAUAACAAAUACACUGGGGUUGAUACAAGAAGGUAAUAUUUAUGGUCUUAUGUACAAAUGACCAAAAAUAGAUAAAUACAUACAGGAUAAGGCAAAAAAAAUCUGUUAAAAUGUCAAAUGUGAUUUCUGUCAUUUUGAAUAUUGUCUGUGUUGAAUGUGAAGAAAACUAAAUUUCCACACCUAGAAGAAACUAUCAGGGAUUAUUUGUAUCCAUGAACAGACUGAAUACAUAGUAGCUGCAUUACAGCUUAUUUAUUAAAUUUAUUUUUUUAAGUAAUUUCUACACCCAAUGUGGGGCUCAAACUCAUGACUGUGAGAUCAAGAGUCCUGAGAUCAAGAGUCGCAUGCUCUCACAUGCCAGCCAGGCAUCCCUAAAUUUAAAUCUUAAAUGGAGGGGCACCUGGGUGGCUCAGUCGUUAAGCGUCUGCCUUCGGCUCAGGUCAUGAUCCCAGGGUCCUGGGAUCGAGCCCCGCAUUGGGCUCCCUGCUCAGCGGGAAACCUGCUUCUCCCUCUCCCACUCCCCCUGCUUGUGUUCCCUCUCUCGCUGUGUCUCUCUCUGUCAAAUAAAUAAAUAAAAUAUUUAAAAAAAAUCUUAAAUGGAGAUACAGCUAUUAUAGCAUUCUGUAAGUAGGUAAAGUCUAGACUUCAUUAUUUGGCUAUGUUCUUUGCUGUUUUUCUAAUUUUUUAGUCAUUCAAAUGAAGUUUUCAAUUGUAAUCUGAGAUUAAAAAGAAUCAUUUUGCCAAGUUUCCUUUGACUCAUUGUUUAAAAAUUUGAAAUAAAUCACCACGAAGUUAAGGUCCAUAUAAGGUCAAUGUGACUUUGUCUUUGAGAUCUGUUUAUGUCUUCAUGUUUAUAGGUUACUAAGUACCUUUCCCUGAUGAAAAGUUUAAAAAAAAAAAAACAACUCCAAGUGAAAAAGAGGACUAAGUCCAAUAUCAAAAGGAUGUUUAUUCAGUUUGGAGGUUCCUCAAAAAGUUAAAAAUAGAUGGACUCUACGAUCUAGCAAUUGCACUUCUAGGUAUUUACUCAAAGGAUACAAAAAUACAGGUUUGAAGGGGUACAUGCACCCCAAUGUUUAUAGCAGUAUUACCAGCAGUAGCUAAACUAUGGAGAGAGCCCAAAUGUCCAUCGACUGAUGAAUGGAUAAAGAAGAUAUGGUAUAUAUACACAAUGGAAUAUUACUCAGCCAUCAAAAAAGGAAAUCUUGCCAUUUACAACAAUGUGGACAGAGCUAGAGUGUAUUAUGCUAAGUGAAAUAAGUCAGUUAGAGAAAGACAAAUACCAGAUGAUUUACUCAUAUGUGGAAUUUAAGGCAGAAAACAGAUGGACCUAAGGGAAGGGGGUAAAGAAAAAAAACGAGAGAGGGAAACAAGCCAUGGAGACUCUUUUUUAAAAUUUUUUUAAAAUUUAUUUAUUUGAGAGAGAGAGAGAGAAACAGCAUGAGAGGGGAUAGGGUCAGAAGGAGA